rnacentral:rRNA from 1 species
UACGUAGGGGGCAAGCGUUGUCCGGAUUUAUUGGGCGUAAAGGGCGCGCAGGCGGCGCUUCAAGUCCGUUGUGAAAUUUCAGGGCUUAACCCUGACGGGUCAACGGAAACUGAAGGGCUAGAGUGCAGCAGAGGAAAGCGGAAUUCCCGGUGUAGUGGUGAAAUUCGUAGAUAUCGGGAGGAACACCAGUGGCGAAGGCGGCGACCUGGGCCAAUAUUGACGCUGAGGUGCGAAAGCGUGGGGAGCAAACAGG